rnacentral:rRNA from 1 species
GACGAACGCUGGCGGCGUGCCUAACACAUGCAAGUCGAGCGGAGAUACAUUGAAGAGCAAUCAGAUAUGUAUCUUAGCGGCGGACGGGUGAGUAACGCGUGGGCAACCUGCCUCAUACUGGGGGAUAACACAGGGAAACUUGUGCUAAUACCGCAUAAUAUCAUUAUAGGGCAUCCUGUGAUGAUCAAAGGAGCGAUCCGGUGUGAGAUGGGCCCGCGUCCAAUUAGCUAGUUGGUGGGGUAACGGCCCACCAAGGCGACGAUUGGUAGCCGAACUGAGAGGUUGAUCGGCCACAUUGGGACUGAGACACGGCCCAGACUCCUACGGGAGGCAGCAGUGGGGAAUAUUGCGCAAUGGGGGAAACCCUGACGCAGCAACGCCGCGUGAAGGAUGAAGGUCUUCGGAUUGUAAACUUCUUUGAUGAGGGACGAACACAAUGACGGUACCUCAAAACAGCCACGGCUAACUACGUGCCAGC